rnacentral:rRNA from 1 species
CAGUCGCCGCGGUAAUACGAAGGGGGCUAGCGUUGCUCGGAUUUACUGGGCGUAAAGGGCGCGUAGGCGGACAGUUAAGUUGGGGGUGAAAGCCCGGGGCUCAACCUCGGAAUUGCCUUCAAUACUGGCUGUCUUGAGUGUGAGAGAGGUGUGUGGAACUCCGAGUGUAGAGGUGAAAUUCGUAGAUAUUCGGAAGAACACCAGUGGCGAAGGCGACACACUGGCUCACUACUGACGCUGAGGCGCGAAAGCGUGGGGAGCAAACAGGAUUAGAUACCCCCGUAGUCCCUGUCUCUUAUAC